ACCCUUUGCAUAAUGGUUUUACUAAAAGCAAAAAGUAGAUCACUAUUUCCCGAAACCAGAAGAGCUAAUAUAUAUUAAUCUAUUAGGCAACAUUAUUACUUCUGUAGCAAUAGAAGAAACAUUAAAUAAUAUUAGGAGCGAAACACUAUCAAUUCUGGGGAUAUCUGGAUAACUCUAAAAUACAUGUAGUGUACUAAAAAAUUAUUUGGUGUUAAGAUCAAAUAACGUUAAAUUAAGCUAUAUCUUAAAUACUUUAUUUAAUAAUAUUAAUUAAAGACUUAAAACAAUAAAAUAAAAUUAGAUAAACAAUUACAAUUUAUAGGUGUUAAUUCAUGGCUAAAUAACCUGCUGGAAAAAUAAUGUAAAAAUUAGUAUAUAAAUUAUAAUUACUUAAGGAACUCGACAAAUAUAUCUUUCGACUGUUUAUCAAAAACAUAGCGACAUGUAUAUUAUAUGUGGUUGUACCUGCCCGGUGAAAAUUUUUAACGGCCGCAGUACUCUGACUGUGCAAAGGUAGCAUAAUAAGUUGGCUUUUAAUUGAGGUCUGGAAUAAAUGGGAGAACGAGGGAUUAUUGUCUUAAGUUACUUUUAUAAAAUUUAUUUAUUAAGUGAAAAUACUUAUAAUUAAAUAAAAGACGAGAAGACCCUUAGAAUUUUAAGAAAAUCUACUUAGAGCAGAAAAACUUUUUGUUGGGGCAACAAAAUUUCACACAAAUAAAUAUAUUAUUUAUUUUUAAUAAGCCGAUUUUAUAUUAUUAAAUAAAUUACCUAAGGGAUAACAGCAUAAUCUUUUAUUAGGUUUGUGACCUCGAUGUUGGACUAGGAACUAUAUGUACUAGACGUACAUUUAGUAAGUUCUGUUCGAACUUUGUUACCUACAUGAUCUGAGUUCAGACCGGCGUAAGCCAGGUCAGAUUCUAUCUUUAAUAUAAGCAGGCACUAGUACGAAGGG
rnacentral:rRNA from 1 species